rnacentral:rRNA from 1 species
GACAGAGGGUGCAAACGUUGUUCGGAAUUAUUGGGCGUAAAGCGCGUGUAGGCGGCUUUGCAAGUCGGGUGUGAAAGCCCUCAGCUCAACUGAGGAAGUGCGCCCGAAAACUGCAGAGCUUGAGUGCCGGAGAGGGUGGGCGGAAUUCCCCAAGUAGAGGUGAAAUUCGUAGAUAUGGGGAGGAACACCGGUGGGCGAAAGGGCGGCC